rnacentral:rRNA from 1 species
UACACUCCUGCGGGAGGCAGCAGUGGGGAAUUUUGGACAAUGGGCGAAAGCCUGAUCCAGCAAUGCCGCGUGAGUGAAGAAGGCCUUCGGGUUGUAAAGCUCUUUUGUCAGGGAAGAAACGGUGAGAGCUAAUAUCUCUUGCUAAUGACGGUACCUGAAGAAUAAGCACCGGCUAACUACGUGCCAGCAGCCGCGGUAAUACGUAGGGUGCAAGCGUUAAUCGGAAUUACUGGGCGUAAAGCGUGCGCAGGCGGUUUUGUAAGUCUGAUGUGAAAUCCCCGGGCUCAACCUGGGAAUUGCAUUGGAGACUGCAAGGCUAGAAUCUGGCAGAGGGGGGUAGAAUUCCACGUGUAGCAGUGAAAUGCGUAGAUAUGUGGAGGAACACCGAUGGCGAAGGCAGCCCCCUGGGUCAAGAUUGACGCUCAUGCACGAAAGCGUGGGGAGCAAACAGGAUUAGAAACCCUUGUAGUCCCAU